UUUUUAUUAUUUGGGCUGUUAUUUUGAUAGUGACGACGUUUGCUUAAUUAAUUAACCUUAGUUAAAAUUAUGACAAUGACGUUUAUGUAUGUAAUUAAUAAUUAAGAUUGCUUAAUCAGGUCUAGCUAAUCUCAAGGUGCCCUUAAUUCUUGAUUAGGCUCGGUUCAUCUACUCUUAGUAAAUUUUGAGUAGUCUAAUAAUUUAACAUAAAUUGAUUUUAAUUAGCCUCAGUAUUCCUAACCAUCCUCUAUUAAUCACCGUUAGACUUAACUUAAAUUAUCGUAACUAAUUUCAUGUCUUUAUUAACCUUACUUACACUUAUACCUCUCAGUAUUCAUUAUAUACAGUCAAAAUCAUAAAUCUCAUUAGUCAUGCAUAGUUAUAAGGCAUUCUCAUAUGCACCUCCGUAGGAACUCACACCUAUGUGUGCAGUGGAUCGUGUCACGCGGUACAGACAGAAAAACUGGACGGACGGACGGAGAAAGUUCCGAGGGAAGAAGCCCUAAAAUGCUUACGCAUUAAUAUAGGUACGCCAGGAGUACCUAAUAACUACCGGGCGUGUACUGACCCUUCCACGUUUCCAGUGCACUUGCAUAUCCAACGCAGUUUGGUAGCAGCAGGCGUUGCGCUGCAGGCCCCGCUCCUUGUGCAACAGUCAUACGAGGACGGGGAUUCAAGCUAAUUUUAGCAGGCACUUGCCUAUCGGCCAUGCCUGGUUAUUCUGGCCGCCAACAGAUGACGCCACAAGCAGAUGUGCUUCUCCUUGCUGCCACAUGCUAGCGCUCUAAGCAGCCUCCGCUGAGCGCAGGCCACGCGCUCGCGUGUUCCCUUUCAUAAAGGACCACCCUGUACGUACUAUACAAUACACAAAAUGAGACCGCAUUUUUGAAAACGCACAUUUAUAGUACUUUGUGUCGAGAAUCAUUUGGCUAAGUGGCCCUUCAAACUUGCCUUGAACAUUACAGAUAAAGGCAACAUGACUGUGGCAGGGACAACUAAAGCAGCAAGAUUUGAUUGCCGCCUCCUUUCCGAACAAUGCAGCAGCAACGCAUCGCAGUGUUCACUUGCUUCAAAACGCCUCAACGGACGCUAAAGAGGAAUGUUCAGUUAAAAUAGAUCAACAAAUUAUAUUUCCAGAACACAAGGAAUGUCAUUUCUACCAUCAGCUGAGCCUUGGCAAGGCAGAAAAGAACUGGGGAAAAAAAAGAAGGAGAAAAGGGCUUGAAGUUCCUGUGGUACUUUCUUGUGUCGUCAUGAGAUCUGGACAGCUCCUGCUUGGGACAAGUUAAAUUUAUCAAUAAUGAGGGACUGCAUCGCAUUUUCUAUACGAACAUUUACAACAUAGCAAGUCUUGAGCACGUUUACUGAAACGCUGGCCAGUCAUGUGAAAAUACUUAGCAAUCUGUGAUGUCAUACUAGCAUACAGGCCUUGCUGUUCAAGCAGGAAAUUCAAAUAAGAAAAUUUGGCCAAGCUUCAUCUCCAGUAAUAACGAACCUUGUAAAUUAAAUUUAGUCAAAUUAGGGUUUCUUUUACAUGCCAAGAUUAUGAUUUGAUUAUGAGCCACGCUGUAGCGGAGGACUCUGCACUAAUUUUAACCAUUUGAGGUUUGUCUUGCUUGGAUCAUAGCCGAAGUGUAACUCUGGGAUGCAGAACCCUGUGUAUAUCAUUACUAUUACAACACAAUUGAGUCUAAUGCGAAAGUGCAAAGCCCACAGCUCUCGUCACUGGAGCGUGCUCUGGUCACUUGGCACAAUGCUCACUACAGUGAGGCCUACAGUGCCUGCAGUAAGGCUAAAUUUUAGUUCUGCUGCAGCUGAUGAAGAACAGCAGCUACAGGAGCUGGCAUGCUUCUACAGGAGCUGGCAUGUUGUACCUUCACGCACAGGAUGUGCCAAUGUCAUACUCCUAUUGGUGCACAUGUUCUUGUCAUCGCUUUCUUUCCCUCACUCUCCUUCUCUUUGCUGGCCGAGUACUUUAUAUCACACAUGGCAAACCAGCAAUAAAGAUUCUUUCUUGGUU